AUGGGAGUGACUCCUGUACUCUUUGAGCAACCAGUUCAUAGAGAUGACUGGGAAGGUCUCCAUGAUGUUAGCAUUGCUGCUAUGGAGAAAUACAGAGUUGCUGUUGCUGCUGAUGAAAGUUGCCGCGGAUUACUUGAUGCUCAAAAAAUAAUACAUGGAAAUCUUGCUCAUGUUAUUAACAUCAAACCGGAAAAGUUAGGGGUUCUUGGAGCCCUCGAAGUAAUUGAUGCCGCAAGAAAAGCUGGUAUUGCACUUAUGAUUGGUGGUAUGGUCGAGACUAGGAUUGCCAUGGGCUUUGCUGGCCAUCUCGCUACUGGGCUUGAUUGUUUCAGUUUUAUUGACCUGGACACACCUCUUUUAUUGUCCGAAGAUUCAGUGUACGGUGGCUAUGAAGGUAUUCUUACACAAAAUCCUGUACAGCUAUUCUGA
rnacentral:rRNA from 1 species